rnacentral:rRNA from 1 species
AGCCAUGCCGCGUGCAGGAAGACCGCCCUAUGGGUCGUAAACUGCUUUUGUACGGGAAGAAACACCCCCUCGUGAGGGGGCUUGACGGUACCGUACGAAUAAGGACCGGCUAACUCCGUGCCAGCAGCCGCGGUAAUACGGAGGGUCCGAGCGUUAUCCGGAAUCAUUGGGUUUAAAGGGUCCGUAGGCGGGCGUCUAAGUCAGUGGUGAAAUCUCGCGGCUCAACCGUGAAAUUGCCAUUGAUACUGGUCGUCUUGAAUGGUUGUGAAGUGGCUAGAAUAUGUGGUGUAGCGGUGAAAUGCUUAGAUAUCACAUAGAAUACCGAUUGCGAAGGCAGGUCACUAACAACGCAUUGACGCUGAUGGACGAAAGCGUGGGGAGCGAACAGGAUUAGAUACCCUGGUAGUCCACGCCGUAAACGAUGGAUACUAGCUGUCCGGGGCACAUUGGUGUCCUGGGUGGCCCAGCGAAAGUGAUAAGUAUCCCACCUGGGGAGUACGUUCGCAAGAAUGAAACUCAA